rnacentral:rRNA from 1 species
UACGUAGGGGGCAAGCGUUGUCCGGAUUUAUUGGGCGUAAAGAGCGUGUAGGCGGCCUGAAAGGUCAGCUGUGAAAACUCGAGGCUCAACCUCGAGACGUCGGUUGAAACCAUCUGGCUAGAGUCCGGAAGAGGAGAAUGGAAUUCCUGGCGUAGCGGUGAAAUGCGCAGAUAUCAGGAAGAACACCCGUGGCGAAGGCGGUUCUCUGGGACGGUACUGACGCUGAGACGCGAAAGCGUGGGGAGCGAACAGG